GGUUCUAUAGUAAAAUUGAUAAUAUUAGAUUGCAAAUCUGAAGAUGUGUAAGACACUAGAACUU
rnacentral:tRNA from 1 species